CAAUAUUCUGUGUACAAAUGUGAAACCUUUAAUUACAAUUUGAAUCUUUUUUUAUAGGGAAAAGACAAGCCUAGCAAGGCAAAAAACAGAAAGUCACAUGAAAACAAGGAUUUCGCAGUGAACGAAAAAGUAAUGGGCUUCUGGAAACUGGAGAAGAAAUGGUAUAAUGCAACAGUCUUAGAAAAAACUAAAUCAGGUUACAAAGUCGUAUUUGCAGACGACAACUUAGUAAGAGUGUUAAGUCUACAAAAUCUACGAAAAAAGACAUCGAGAUGAAUUCAGCUGAAGGUGUUUUGUUUAUAUAUGAACUUACAAGAAACUCACAAGUCAUCUGAUAAUGUUCUUAAAACAGGAUAUGAUAAACAAUAUCAACAACAAAACGAAGCUGUAUUUCCUUGUCCUUGAACAAAAGACAUUUAACAUCAGUCAAAUGAUCCUAUAUAUUUAUACAUGUAUACAAAAUUGAACAA